UCUCUGGGGUAUGGAGGGUAGUGGUUAUUGCUGCCAUUCCAUGAAAAAAAGUAACAUAGGGCCUCAAUUUUCUAUGCAUAAAAUGAAGAGAGUACUAGCAUGUGCCUGGAGGUUGUUGUAGGGCCUGUAGACACCAAGUUGGGGCUUUCUUUGUGUUACAUGUGGGAACUGAUCUCGAGGAGGCAUUCACACUUAUCUGAGGUCUUGAGCAGGCCUGGGGUAGAGCUGGCAGAACCCUUAUCUCAGUCCCAGAUGGGAGCUGCUGCCCUGCCUUGUGUUGUCUUCUCAGCAUCCAGAGAUUCUCCACUGAUUCCAGGAAUCUCUCCAACAGGUGAAAUCAUCCCACCUUGUUCCCAAUGAGAAGGGACUAAAGCCCUCCGCUAGCACCAGAUGAACAAUGCCAGCCCCUCACAGCCUGAGGACACUCCAGACAUCACAGUUAUUUUCCUCUUGGAUAGCUCAUGGCUUGGAUUCAUAUCAUCUUUCAGCCUCUCUCUGUCUGCAGUGACACACGCUGACAGCCACAGACUUCUUUAUGUGCCCCCUCAGCAAAGCCAAAUGCUUAAGGGGAAAGAAAAAAAUCAGCACAAAAUCCAUUUGCGAAAACCAUGAAGGAAAUAAAGUUCUGAGGAAUUAUCCUUGUGGCCUGAAAAGGGAGAAAGCUCGUCAGAUUAAUCUCCUGAGAAGGCUGUCUAUGCAGAGGGACAAAAGGGGAGGGAGCCUUGAAUGUGUCCAGCACUAACCACAGUCCCCAGCGCUCCCUCCACAUCCUUGCUCCUGUUUCCUGUCAGAGCAGGCUUGCUUAGGAAGCUGUCCUUGCAGGGACACCCAAAGAAUUCCUGCUCACCUUCUCCCAUGGCACCAUCUCUACAAGCAAGCACAAUGUCUGACUGGGUCUCCCCACCUGUCUGAGGCCUGAAUCAGACAGGUGCAACUGCUCCUCUCUCUGGUUUCUUUCUUCUAGAUGCCAGGCAGAACUGUAAGUAUGCUUUUUCUGAUACUUUAUGCUUCUUUACUCUUUCUUUAAAGCUCCCUUCGCUCUGUG